rnacentral:lncRNA from 1 species
GGAGGGCUGGUUUGUAAUUAGAAGAAAGAAGAUGGGUAGAUCGAAAUGGAAGGGGAUUUUCCCCCUUCUUCUUCCUUUGUUCGGUACAGGAGAUGGAGGAGGGGAUGGCCGACGGCGGGCUAGCUGGCCUAGCUUGCUGGCGGCAAGGCCAAGUGGUGGAGAAGGGGGAGGAGAGUGUGGGGGACCCAUUUUGGCCCUCACCUUGGCCGGCUAGCAAUGGGGAAGGGGGCGCCGGCGGUGGACUAGGAGGUGGCGGCGGCGCGUGGGUGGUGGAAAAGAGGGGACGAGCGGUGGAGAGCGGCGCCGGUGGUGGUGUGGAGGCGGCAGGGGCUCAGCCCCCUUUUUAUAGGCGACGGGAGGGUAGGCGGAGGUCGGAGGUAAUGAUUGUGGUUGGACUUACG